rnacentral:rRNA from 1 species
UACGUAGGUGGCAAGCGUUGUCCGGAUUUAUUGGGUUUAAAGGGUGCGUAGGCGGCUUUGUAAGUCAGUGGUGAAAUAUGGCAGCUCAACUGUCAGGGUGCCAUUGAUACUGCGGAGCUUGAGUACAGAUGAGGUAGGCGGAAUUGACGGUGUAGCGGUGGAAUGCGUAGAGAUCCGGAAGAACACCGGUGGCGAAGGCGGCCUGCUGGGCAGUGGCUGACGCUGAGGCGCGACAGCGUGGGGAGCAAACAGG